rnacentral:rRNA from 1 species
UUGGAGGGCAAGUCUGGUGCCAGCAGCCGCGGUAAUUCCAGCUCCAAUAGCGUAUAUUAAAGUUGUUGCAGUUAAAAAGCUCGUAGUUGAAUUUCGGGGUCAGUAGGUUGGUCGUGCCACUGGUACGUACUGGUCUCACUGAUUCCUCCUUCCUGAUGAACCGUAAUGCCAUUAAUUUGGUGUUGCGGGGAAACUGGACUGUUACUUCGAAAAAAUUAGAGUGUUUAAAGCAGGCUAACGCUUGAAUACAUUAGCAUGGAAUAAUGAAAUAGGGCGUUCGAUCCUAUUUUGUUGGUUUCUAGGAUUGACGUAAUGAUUAAUAGGGACAGUUGGGGGCAUUAGUAUUCAAUUGUCAGAGGUGAAAUUCUUGGAUUUAUUGAAGACUAACUACUGCGAAAGCAUUUGCCAAGGAUGUUUUCAUUAAUCAAGAACGAAAGUUAGGGGAUCGAAGACGAUCAGAUACCGUCGUAGUCUUAACCAUAAACUAUGCCGACUAGGGAUCGGAUGAUGUUAAUUUUUUAAUGACUCAUUCGGCACCUUACGGGAAAC